CGACCCGGAAUAUAUUCAGUUUGGCAUUAGAGCUCGUACGGAGCACAUCUCGUUCCGGGAAAAUAAAAAUGUGAAAAAAAAACACAAAAUUUUUAGUGAAAACCAAAAGAAGUUUGGGUUUGCUUCGGUUCGCUUCGGUUCGCUUCGGUUCACUUCGGUACUGAGGGACGCUCUUUCAAAAAUGAAAUCAACACCUAAAAUAACACAUAUAGUCACACAAUCUGAGUGCAGUUGAUGCUUCUACCGCACUGACCUAGUGAAUCCCGUUCACCAUUCCAUAUGUUAAUUGAUUGCUUGGCAACAAUCAAUUGCAUAACCAAACCAGAAAUACACGCCAUUGCUUUUUGUAACGACGUGAAAGCAAUGGCAACGGAUGCGAAGCAGCCGCUUAACACAAAAAGACUGGGAAACGAACACUUGAUGUUUGGCCAACGGGAUUACUAUGGUAUGUCCCUCUAAACGAUGGUACUGGUCUCCAUGGACUAGAUGAUCGCCUCGUUUUGGAUGCGACUGGUGCGCUUAUUAUUUUAUAUGGGGUUUCGCUCCGCUUGCUAGUUGGUAUAUGGCCGUUCCUGCGUUCUCUCAUCUCUUCCUUCGGUUGGUUCAGCUCAAAUGCAAACAAAUGAAGAUCGUUCCGUACUUGAUAGCCAGGCCAUCAUAGGAUAGAUAUAACGGAGUAAAACUCGAUGGGACCGGUCCCGUUGGAUGAGAUGAUUGCAUCGUUUUGCCCGUUACUAGCAUUUCGUUAGGUCUUGUCUAAAUAAACGCGAUUCAUUGAACGCAAA